UGGAUGUUAAUGGCUGAUAGUCGGUAACUUUGCAAUAUUCAACAUUGUAGGAUAGAAGCGGGAAACUGAGCAGAGCUACAGGACAUUGAAAGGAAAGAACUGUGCAGUAUGAUUGCUCUAUUGCAGAACUAUUGAAGGCUAGAAGUCAUGAAUCACCAAGUGCCACAAAACUAACGGACCAAACUGCUGUGACUGUUGGAUUUGCUAUUUCCUGAACAAACACACGAUGUGAAACAGAACUAUAUCAAGAUCCAGAAUAUUGGCAAGGACGAGUGGGACUGGAACUGCAAGUCCUUUCCUGAGAUCACAGCAACCAGUCUACUCCUGGAUACAUCCAUGGCUCCAGGACUGUGCUUCUCAAUACAACAAUUUAAGUGACUUCCUCCACUGAAGUGAUAGGAUAUCAGCGCUGCCUCCCACCAAGAUAGGCACAGGUCUAAAAUAACCAGUUCCCUCGUUGGCUCAAGAAUACAUGUCAGCAUUCAGGUAAACCUACGGUACCAGCAAUACAAAACCAAAACCACUCCAACCUCAGUCUUACAGCUUAAGUUUACUGAUGAUG